UCCUCCGUAGGUGAACCUGCGGAGGGAUCAUUACACAACGAAAAUAUGAAGGCUUUGGCUUCGCGGCCGGCUGAAAUAUUUUUUUUCACCCAUGUCUUUUGCGCACUUGUUGUUUCCUGGGCGGGUUCGCCCGCCACCAGGACCAAACCAUAAACCUUUUUUUUAAUGCAGUUGCAAUCAGCGUCAGUAAAAAAUAAUGUAAUUAUUACAACUUUCAACAACGGAUCUCUUGGUUCUGGCAUCGAUGAAGAACGCAGCGAAAUGCGAUACGUAGUGUGAAUUGCAGAAUUCAGUGAAUCAUCGAAUCUUUGAACGCACAUUGCGCCCUUUGGUAUUCCAAAGGGCAUGCCUGUUCGAGCGUCAUUUGUACCUUCAAGCUUUGCUUGGUGUUGGGCGUUUUUUGUCUCCCUCUUGCUGGGAGACUCGCCUUAAAACGAUUGGCAGCCGGCCUACUGGUUUCGGAGCGCAGCACAUAUUUUGCACUCUGUGUCAGGAGAAAAGGACGGUAAUCCAUCAAGACUCUACAAAUUUUAACUUUGACCUCGGAUCAGGUAGGGGAACCCCCAGAGG
rnacentral:rRNA from 1 species